rnacentral:miRNA from 14 species
AGUUCUUCAUUUGACUGCUCUG